rnacentral:rRNA from 1 species
CCCCACUGCUAUCGGGAUAGGACUAAGACAUGCUAGUUGAGCGCUUCCAGCCAAUACGGGAGCGCGGCGCACGGCUCAGUAACACGUGGCUAAUCUGCCCUUGGGACCGGAACACCCCCGGGAAACUGGGGCUAAUUCUCGAUAGGUGAAGAACUCUGGAAUGAGUCUUUGCCAAAAAGACGUUUACGUUAUGCUCGUAGGCGUCGCCCAAGGAUGAGGCCGCGACCGAUCAGGUUGUUGGUGAGGUAAUGGCUCACCAAGCCUUUUACCGGUGCGGGCCGUGAGAGCGGGAGCCCGGAGAUGGGCACUGAGACAAGGGCCCAGGCCCUACGGGGCGCAGCAGUCGCGAAAACUUUGCAAUACACGAAAGUGUGACAGGGCUAUCCCGAGUGCCAUCCGCUGAGGAAGGCUUUUACCCAGUCUAGAACGCUGGGGGAAUAAGGAGAGGGCAAGUCUGGUGUCAGCCGCCGCGGUAAUACCAGCUCUCCGAGUGGUGUGGAUGUUUAUUGGGCCUAAAGCAUCCGUAGCUGGCUAAGUUAGUCCCUUGUUAAAUCCACCGAAUUAAUCGUUGGAUUGCGGGGGAUACUGCUUGGCUAGGGGACGAGAGAGGCAGACGGUAUUUCCGGGGUAGGGGUGAAAUCCUAUAAUCCCGGGAAGACCACCAGUGGCGAAGGCUGUCUGCUAGAACGCGCCCGACGGUGAGGGAUGAAAGCUGGGGGAGCGAACCGGAUUAGAUACCCGGGUAGUCCCAGCUGUAAACGAUGCAGACUAGGUGUUUGGACGGCCACGUGCCGUUCUAGUGCCGCAGGGAAGCUGUUAAGUCUGCCGCCUGGGGAGUACGAUCGCAAGAUU